rnacentral:rRNA from 1 species
UGGGUGAGCUACUCCAGAACAGCCUAUAAAGAAGGGCGCACCCGUCUCUGUUGCAAAAGAGUGGGAGGAUUCUCGAGUAGGGGCGAUAAACCUAUCGAACCCAGUAAUAGCUGGUUAUCUGGAAAAUGAAUAUGAGUUCAGCCCUCCAGGGCUAUGGUCCAGCGACUAUAUAAGGACCCACCUAGACUUGGAGGAGUUAUUUAAAGGGGGUACAGCUCCUUUGAUAACAAGAUACAACUUUUAAAGGUGUGUAAGGAUCACAUUUAAUAUUAAGGCUACGUGCUUUAGUAGGCCUGAAGGCAGCCACCUAGUAAGAAAGCGUUAAAGCUCAAGCACAUUUGACCCACUUAUGCCGACAAAUUUAUCCGAACCCCCUAAUAUUACCAGAUCAUUAUGUACCAAUACAUAAGUGAUACUGCUAGUAUGAGUAAUAAGGGGUGUAUGAUAAGACCCCCUCCUAGCACAAGUGUACAGCGAGACGGACCCCCCAUCGCCAUCUAACGAUGCCACCGCAAGAGGCAACUGGUUUAUAACUUAGACAAUUAAAAAAUCAACCAGUAUAUACACGUUAACCCCACACCGGAGUGCAAUAAGGAAAGACUUAAUGAGGGAAAAGGAACUCGGCAAACUAAGGUCUCGCCUGUUUACCAAAAACAUCGCCUCCCGCAUCUUAUAAAAAUGGGAGGUCCUGCCUGCCCCGUGACUAUAUGUUUAACGGCCGCGGUAUUUUAACCGUGCAAAGGUAGCGCAAUCACUUGUCUCUUAAUUGGGGACCUGUAUGAACGGCAUAACGAGGACCUACCUGUCUCUUUCCUCAGGUCAAUGAAAUUGAUCUUCCCGUGCAAAAGCGGGCAUAAAUACACGGGACGAGAAGACCCUGUGGAGCUUAAAACAACUGAGGAGCUAGAUUAAACACCCGUUUUAAAGGGACUAAGAGUGCUAAGUUAUCCUCAUAUGUUUUCGGUUGGGGCGACCAAGGGAUAUAAAGGAACUCCCAUGUGGACCGGAAUACAUUCCACAGCCAAAACUCGCUCGUUUAAGCACCAGAAUGUCUGACCUAGGGAUCCGGCAGAGCCGAUCGACGGACCAAGUUACCCCAGGGAUAACAGCGCAAUCCUCUUUUAGAGUCCUUAUCGACAAGAGGGUUUACGACCUCGAUGUUGGAUCGGGACUCCCUAAUGGUGCAGCCGCUAUU